CCUACGGGAGGCAGCAGUGGGGAAUUUUGGACAAUGGGGGAAACCCUGAUCCAGCCAUUCCGCGUGAGUGAAGAAGGCCUUCGGGUUGUAAAGCUCUUUCGGCAGGAACGAAACGGCGGACUCUAACAUAGUCUGUCAAUGACGGUACCUGAAGAAGAAGCACCGGCUAACUACGUGCCAGCAGCCGCGGUAAUACGUAGGGUGCGAGCGUUAAUCGGAAUUACUGGGCGUAAAGCGUGCGCAGGCGGCUUUGUAAGACGGAUGUAAAAUCCCUGGGCUUAACCUAGGAACUGCGUUCGUGACUGCAAAGCUAGAGUGCGGCAGAGGGGGGUGGAAUUCCUGGUGUAGCAGUGAAAUGCGUAGAUAUCAGAUAGAACACCAAUGGCGAAGGCAGCUCGCUGGCCCAAUACUGACGCUAAAGCACGAAAGCGUGGGGAGCAAACAGGAUUAGAUCCCCCUGUAGU
rnacentral:rRNA from 1 species